rnacentral:ribozyme from 16 species
AAAGAAAAGUUUACAAAAGCCAAAAAAGUGAAAAUCUGAAAAAUGCGAAGCUUCAUUCGUUUAGUUUUUUUUUUUUUUUUUUUUUUUUUUUUUUU